GACGAACGCUGGCGGCGUGCUUAACACAUGCAAGUCGAACGGAAAGGCCCUGCUUUUGUGGGGUGCUCGAGUGGCGAACGGGUGAGUAACACGUGAGUAACCUGCCCUUGACUUUGGGAUAACUUCAGGAAACUGGGGCUAAUACCGGAUAGGAGCUCCUGCUGCAUGGUGGGGGUUGGAAAGUUUUGGCGGUUGGGGAUGGACUCGCGGCUUAUCAGCUUGUUGGUGGGGUAGUGGCUUACCAAGGCUUUGACGGGUAGCCGGCCUGAGAGGGUGACCGGCCACAUUGGGACUGAGAUACGGCCCAGACUCCUACGGGAGGCAGCAGUGGGGAAUAUUGCACAAUGGGCGGAAGCCUGAUGCAGCAACGCCGCGUGCGGGAUGACGGCCUUCGGGUUGUAAACCGCUUUCGCCUGUGACGAAGCGUGAGUGACGGUAAUGGGUAAAGAAGCACCGGCUAACUACGG
rnacentral:rRNA from 1 species